rnacentral:rRNA from 1 species
UCGUUCUGUCUUCACAGACAGCGUCUAUCGGAGUUAAAAUGCGACUCCAGUUCACAAGAGAGUGGUACAACAUCGUCUGUUUCUUUAAUGCGGUAGAUGGAGGACUUCUUCAUCUUAGGAAUCAAGUCUGUCGGAGAGUAUGUGCAGCUGACUAAGAAUGACGAGCACACAGAGUGGAGCUGCGCUAUUGACUCACACGGGAAACUACAGUCCAGAUAUAGUAAGAUGACAGAUGAUAGCUCUUUCUGAUUCUAUAGGUGGUGGUGCAUGGCCGUUCUUAGUUGGUGGAGUGAUUGUCUGGUUAAUUCCGAUAACGAACGAGACCUUAACCUGCUAACUAGAUUCGAUCAUCUUAUGGUCGUUAUCUUCUUAGAGGGACUAUGUAACAUAAAGGGCAUGCGAAGUUUGAGGCAAUAACAGGUCAAGUGAUGCCCUUAUAUGUCCUGAACUGCUACUCUAUAAUACACUGAUGUAUACAACAAGUGCCUAGUCAGACAUGACAUGGCAAUCUCGAAUAUGCAUCGUGAUGGGAAAUAGAUCUUUGCAAUUAUAGAUCUUGAACGAGGAAUUCCUAGUAAGUGCAAGUCAUCAUCUUGCACUGAUUAUGUCCCUGCCCUUUGUACACACCGCCCGUCGCUCCUACCGAUACCGAAUGAUCCGGUGAACCUUUUGGACCUGCAAGGGGAAGAUAAGAAAACCAUAUCAGAGUUGAUAAUCAGAACGGGCCGAUGUAUCAGAGU